UCCCUGGUAGUCUAGUGGUUAGGAUUCAGUGCUCUCACUGCCGCGGCCAGGGUUCGAUUCCCGGUCAGGGAA
rnacentral:tRNA from 1 species